GCCAGUCCCGCGAUGGAGCGGAGCGAUGAGCUUUGGAAGUUACAUCUUCCGAGAGGAAGGUUCAAGUCCUUCGACUGGCACCA
rnacentral:tRNA from 1 species